UACGUAGGGGGCAAGCGUUGUCCGGAUUUAUUGGGCGUAAAGAGCGUGUAGGCGGUUUGGUAGGUCCGUUGUGAAAACUCGAGGCUCAACCUCGAGACGCCGAUGGAAACCAUCAGACUAGAGUCCGGAAGAGGAGAGUGGAAUUCCUGGUGUAGCGGUGAAAUGCGCAGAUAUCAGGAGGAACACCGAUGGCGAAGGCAGGUCUCUGGGCCACUACUGACGCUGAGAAGCGGAAGCAUGGGGAGCGAACAGG
rnacentral:rRNA from 1 species